rnacentral:rRNA from 1 species
UAUGAACGCUGGCGGCGUGCCUAAUACAUGCAAGUCGAGCGAACGGACGAGAAGCUUGCUUCUCUGAUGUUAGCGGCGGACGGGUGAGUAACACGUGGAUAACCUACCUAUAAGACUGGGAUAACUUCGGGAAACCGGAGCUAAUACCGGAUAAUAUUUUGAACCGCAUGGUUCAAAAGUGAAAGACGGUCUUGCUGUCACUUAUAGAUGGAUCCGCGCUGCAUUAGCUAGUUGGUAAGGUAACGGCUUACCAAGGCAACGAUGCAUAGCCGACCUGAGAGGGUGAUCGGCCACACUGGAACUGAGACACGGUCCAGACUCCUACGGGAGGCAGCAGUAGGGAAUCUUCCGCAAUGGGCGAAAGCCUGACGGAGCAACGCCGCGUGAGUGAUGAAGGUCUUCGGAUCGUAAAACUCUGUUAUUAGGGAAGAACAUAUGUGUAAGUAACUGUGCACAUCUUGACGGUACCUAAUCAGAAAGCCACGGCUAACUACGU